ACGGGACUCUUCGGAGUUUAGUGGCGGACGGGUGAGUAACGCGUGAGAAUCUGCCCUUAGGUUGGGGACAACAGUUGGAAACGACUGCUAAUACCCAAUGUGCCGAGAGGUGAAAGGUUAACUGCCUGGGGAUGAGCUCGCGUCUGAUUAGCUAGUUGGAGUGGUAACGGCACACCAAGGCGACGAUCAGUAGCUGGUCUGAGAGGAUGAUCAGCCACACUGGGACUGAGACACGGCCCAGACUCCUACGGGAGGCAGCAGUGGGGAAUUUUCCGCAAUGGGCGAAAGCCUGACGGAGCAAGACCGCGUGAGGGAGGAAGGCCUAUUGGUUGUAAACCUCUUUUGAUAGGGAAGAACACAAUGACGGUACCUAUCGAAUCAGCAUCGGCUAACUCCGCGCCAGCAGCCGCGGUAAUACGGAGGAUGCAAGCGUUAUCCGGAUUUAUUGGGCGUAAAGCGUCCGUAGGUGGCAAACCAAGUCAGUUGUUAAAGCGUAGAGCUUAACUCUAUAAGGGCAAUUGAAACUGGUUAGCUAGAGUGCGAUAGGGGCAAGGGGAAUUCCCAGUGUAGCGGUGAAAUGCGUAGAUAUUGGGAAGAACAUCGGUGGCGAAGGCGCCUUGCUGGGUCUGCACUGACACUGAGGGACGAAAGCUAGGGGAGCGAAAGGGAUUAGAUACCCCUGUAGUCCUAGCCGUAAACGAUGGAUACUAGGCGUUGUCCGUAUCGACCCGAGCCGUGCCGAAG
rnacentral:rRNA from 1 species